AGUUGUAGCUCAGUAGGAUAGAGCGACCGCCUCCUAAGCGGUAGGUCGGAGGUUCGAAUCCCCUCAA
rnacentral:tRNA from 1 species